UCUCCUCUGGACUUCAGGGGCUCUCUUACUUGCUUCUGGGUUUGGGAUCAGCAUCAGUGCGGUUUUUUUAUUUCAAAGGAAGUGAGUCCCGGAUAUCUCUGGCAGGCGCUGAACAGGCUCAGCUGGCAAACCAAUCCUUAGCUUGGAAUGAUGAUGUUUCCAGCAGAAGCCUCUUGCAAAUUACACACUUUAAACUCAGCCUUGGCUUGGAACUGGAAUCCUUGUUAUGCCUUUGACUACAAAUCCCAGUACACAGUUCACCUACUACAAUACCGGAACUAGAGGAUCUCUGGUCUGAUCCAACAGCGUUAUUAUUAUUAUUUUAAAGUUUUCUGAUCUUGUUUUUGGAAGGAGGUCCUGGAAACUCUACUGAAGGGCAGCUCAUAAAUCCUUUAAAUAAAUAAGGAAUAUGGCUGAUA